GCGGCUAGCAGGUUAUCCUGCUCCGGCGGAGUGGGUUGCUGCCAUGUAGAAAUUUGACUCCUGACGC
ensembl:snoRNA snoRNA:Or-CD10